rnacentral:tRNA from 1 species
GCGGAUUUAGCUCAGUUGGUAGAGCAUCGGCUUCCCAAGCCGAGGGUCGCGGGUUCGAGUCCCGUAAUCCGCUCCU